AUGAAAAAAAACAAGAACAGACUAAUAUACGCGCGCUUACAGAUCGAAAAGAAAUCCUUUUCCAUGCCCUUGUUGGCGAUAGGAAAUGGGACUUGUACAUCUUUGCAUAUGGGAUCAAAGGGAUGCGAGCGUGCUGAUGUCCAUCGGGUAGGCGUCGUUGGGCGACUGGGCGCGGUAGGACCUCCGGCCGACGAUGAUGUUGGCCGCCUCCGACGGGUGGAAGGCGUCCCAGAAGAUGUGCUGGUCCCUGUUGGCGCAGGGCGCCUGGUACGGCAGGCACGUCACCUCCCCGUUGUUCCGGCCCACGCCGCAGCACCCGGCGGUGGACUCCGUGAACCCGUAGGCGGCGGCGUUGGCCAGGAUGUCGUUGAAGAUGUUGUAGGCGUUGAUGUAGGUGAAGUGCGCGCCGGGGAGGGUGUUCAUCUGGUCGACGAGACCGACCAGCCGCCGGUUGAAGAUCUGGAUGGCGCCGUCGAUGCGGCCGACGCAGGUGGCGCCGUCGGGGCUGUAGCGCGCCAGCUCGUUGGGGGCGCAGCCGACCUGGCCCACCCCGAUCAGGGCCACCUUCCGGGCGCCGUAGCUGUACAUGGCCUGGAGGUAGCGGCGGUAGUCGGCGAUGAGCGAGUCGGCGAACUGCUCCGGCGUGUAGCGGCUGCCGGUGUUGUAGAAGGCCGGCUGGAAGUAGUUGUUGAGGUAGUCGUUGCUGCCCAUGCCCACCGUGAAGAUGCACUGGCUCAGCCGCUCCGACGCCGUGUCCCGGUCGCCCAGGAUGUUCACCAGCGUCUGCACCGCCGUCUGGUAGUUCUGCACCUGCCCCGCGAACGGGAUCCGGCCGCCCUCUGCUGGCCGGUCUCGGCACGGAUCCCGGCGGCGGCGGAGGCGAAGUUGACGCCGUUGAGGAGCUGGUCGCCGCCCGUCGCCGCGUAG
rnacentral:rRNA from 1 species